CGUUCUAUGUGUGGAGAAGGUGUACCGUGAGGAGCGCUGGAACGCAUAGAAGUGAGAAUGCCGGUAUGAGUAGCGAAAGAAGGGUGAGAAUCCCUUCCACCGAAUAUCUAAGGUUUCCUGAGGAAGGCUCGUCCGCUCAGGGUUAGUCGGGACCUAAGCCGAGGCCGAUAGGCGUAGGCGAUGGACAACAGGUAGAGAUUCCUGUACCAGUGCUAAUUGUUUAACCAAUGGGGUGACACAGA
rnacentral:rRNA from 1 species